UGAUUGAUUUGCAAUUUCAGCUUAAAUCUCUAUGAAGCAGAGUCAAGGAAUUAGAGCUAGAGAACGCAAGAUUAUCUCAGAUUUCAAAUUGUCGGUGCCGGAAGAUAGAAGAGAGUCCUGAACGUUCUGCUAUAUCUGCUGAUAUUUCAGUUGAGGACAUCGU